rnacentral:RNase_P_RNA from 1 species
CGAGCCGGCCAGGCAGCCGCCGUCGCCGCGGGGAUCCCCCCGGAGGCGGAGGAAAGUCCGGGCUCCACGGAACAGGGCGCCAGGUAACCCCUGGGGGGCGCGAGCCCACGGAAAGUGCAACAGAGAGCAGACCGCCGCGGCGCGUCGCCUCCCGGCGAACGUCGCGGCAAGGGUGAAAGGGUGCGGUAAGAGCGCACCGCGUGCGACGGUAACGUCGGCGGCUAGGCAAACCCCGCCCGGAGCAAGGCCAAAUAGGAAUCCACAGGGCGUGUUCCGCGCCGGAUUCGGGUAGGCCGCAAGAGGCGACCGGUGACGGUCGUUCCCAGAUGAAUGGCUGCCCGCGACAGAACCCGGCUUAUCGGCCGGCUCGCCCC